AGCAGUGGAGGUGGAACACUUAACAAGAUUAACAGGACUGAGAUCCAACACAGUAGCAGCAUCCUUGGAGGAGGAAGAUGAAUCAGCCGCCGCAACCGGAGAAGCAGCCGCGGUGAUUGAUUUGUUGAGAUCUCGGAGGGGGCGAGAUCGACGAAGGCCUUUUAUUCCGAUAUGAUGACAUUUUUUCUUAUCGCCUGACCAUCGAUGCCUUAAUCGUUCAAUGUAAUCCUUCUUCUCACCACAGCAACACGCCAUUUUCAUUUUUUU
rnacentral:lncRNA from 1 species